rnacentral:rRNA from 1 species
UGCCACAGCCACAUCACCCUGCAGCACAAGAUACUAAGCAGGGCUGAGCCUGAUCAGUACCUGGAUGGUAGACCACAUGGGAAAACUAGGUUGCUGUUGGAA